rnacentral:rRNA from 1 species
UACAGAGGGUGCGAGCGUUAAUCGGAAUUACUGGGCGUAAAGCGCGCGUAGGCGGCUUUGCAAGUCGGGUGUGAAAUCCCCAGGCUUAACCUGGGAACUGCAUUCGAGACUGCAUUGCUAGAGUAUGGGAGAGGGAAGUGGAAUUUCCGGUGUAGCGGUGAAAUGCGCAGAUAUCAGGAGGAACACCGAUGGCGGAAGGCAGGUCUCUGGGCAUUAACUGACGCUGAGGAGCGAAAGCAUGGGGGAGCGAACAGG